UCUUCUCGUGGGCCCUGGACGAGGAUCUGCUCCCGUUGGGCUAUUUUCGCGCUGCUGCGUUUCGCUCUGAGCUCGUCACUUUUCUGCUUGCGUGCGUACAGCUCGGCUAGACCCUCACGCAAGUUUUUGCGGCGGAUGGCAGCCAUCCGCCUCUUCCAUUCCACGUGGUCGAACUGAGGAUCUCCAGGGUGGAGUUUUGGCUCUUUACUUAAGGGCUCGGGAGUAGCAGCCUCAGCGUAGGAUUGCGUCGGCUUGUCUGGUCGUCGGGCCGGGAAUAGCUCACGGGGCACAGGGAGAAUACCCUUUACCGGCUGCUUACGAGGAUGGAAAGGCUGUAUCGGAUGAGGAAUGUCGAUGAAAUUCGGCGACUCGGGCCUAACCAGUGGAUAUGGGGUUGAACUGAAGGCCCGGACCUGUACUUUAGCACUUCUGCAAGCGCGGCAGAGAGACAUUGCCGACUUCGAGGGGGUGGUCAUGGCUGGC
rnacentral:sRNA from 1 species